CACCCGAGCACCUCUCCGUGUGCCGUCAUGUUUACAUCUUGAAUAUUUUUCUUGAUUCAGUAUAAAAAACUGGUUUAACUCAUUCUUUUGUGUUGACAUACACUGACAUUAAGGAUUGAACUCGCGAUGGUAAUGAUGAGUCUGCAAGGUCAAGGUCAUAUGGUCUAACUAUCAAAUCACAGAAAGGAGAGGAGAAGCUGAGCUCCGCCCUUUUUCUGUCCAGGAGAGAAGGUUAUUUUUUUCUUUUUGAUUGAAACCUGCACCUUGUAUUGGGUUUGGAGGAAAUUGUUCUCUGCGUCUAUAGUUGUUGUAUCAUAGUACUCCGUAGUGUACUGCUAGUACCAUGGCAUACCAAUUGUUUGGAUAGAUCAAAAGGAAAGCUAACGGUCAAUUAGAUAAAUGCUACUGUACUCCCACAUCUUACAUCUCAUUUACUACCUUGUAUCGGCAUUACUUGAAACACAUUUAUGCAGUCACACAUCUCACCUUGAUUUUUCUUCUUCCGAAUUUUGCUUGUAUUGGAACUAUAUACAUCAUUGUCUAACUUGUUAUGCUCGCUGGUUGAAUUUUCAGCAUUUGAAUCGUCCUCAAAGGAGAAACAGGGCAUUAGCUAGUACCAUAAAUGACAAGAUAGCUUGGCCAUGACUCUAUCAACUUGCCUAGGUCCAAG
rnacentral:lncRNA from 1 species